rnacentral:rRNA from 1 species
CGCUGGCGGCGUGCCUAACACAUGCAAGUCGAACGAAGCUCCUGAUUGGAUUCUCGGAUGAAGAGAAGGAAGACUUAGUGGCGGACGGGUGAGUAACGCGUGAGCAACCUGCCUUCAGAGGGGGAUAACAGUUGGAAACGACUGCUAAUACCGCAUAACAUAUUGAUGUCGCAUGGCAUUGAUAUCAAAGCUGAGGCGCUGAGAGAUGGGCUCGCGUCCGAUUAGAUAGUUGGUGGGGUAACGGCCUACCAAGUCGACGAUCGGUAGCCGGACUGAGAGGUUGAACGGCCACAUUGGGACUGAGACACGGCCCAGACUCCUACGGGAGGCAGCAGUGGGGGAUAUUGCACAAUGGGCGAAAGCCUGAAUGCAGCAACGCCGCGUGAGGGAAGACGGUUUUCGGAUUGUAAACCUCUGUCUUUGGUGAAGAAGGAAGUGACGGUAGCCAAGGAGGAAGCCACGGCUAACUACGUGCCAGCAGCAGC